rnacentral:rRNA from 1 species
UGCCCAAUACAUGUUUGUCGAACGCGUNGGCCCAAUUGAUUGAUGGUGCUUGCACCUGAUUGAUUUUGGUCGNUUNUAGUGGCGGACGGGUGAGUAACACGUAGGUAACCUGCCCAGAAGCGGGGGACAACAUUUGGAAACAGAUGCUAAUACCGCAUAACANCGUUGUUCGCAUGAACAACGCUUAAAAGAUGGCUUCUCGCUAUCACUUCUGGAUGGACCUGCGGUGCAUUAGCUUGUUGGUGGGGUAACGGCCUACCAAGGCGAUGAUGCAUAGCCGAGUUGAGAGACUGAUCGGCCACAAUGGGACUGAGACACGGCCCAUACUCCUACGGGAGGCAGNAGUAGGGAAUCUUCACAAUGGGCGCAAGCCUGAUGGAGCAACACCGNGUGAGUGAAGAAGGNUUUCGGCUCGUAAAGCUCUGUUGUUAAAGAAGAACACGUNUGAGAGUAACUGUUCAUACGUUGACGGNAUUUAACCAGAAAGUCACGGNUAACUACGUGCCANCAGCCCGNUGUAAUACCGUAAGUGGCAAGCGUUAUCCCGGAUUUAUUGGGCGUAAAAGAGAGUGCANGCNGUUUUCUAAAGUCUGAUGUGAAAGCCUUCNNCUUAACNCGGANAAGUGCAUCGGAAACUGGGAUAACUUGGAGUUGCAUGAANAANGGUAGUGGAACUCCAUGUGUAGCGGUGGAAAUGCCUAUUNUAUAUGGGAAGGAACACCCAGUNGGCCNAANGCGGGUACCUGGUCUGGCAACUUGACCNCUNAANAC